UUUACCUGUCAGCACAGCAAGAAGUCGAACACACGUAUUUGCGUGCGCGCGCCUCGGUCCUUGUGAGUUCAAAGUGGAUUUUAACCGUUUACCUCAGACGACAGUUUUCAUUUCUAUGGUAAAUUCUAAGGUCAUUUUCUUGUUGUGUUGUGAUGUGUUCCAUUGGCUGAAGAGCAGAUUACCAUGCAAUUUGAUGAAGUGUGAUAGAAUACACAGAGGUGAAGUCACGUGUCUUUCCAGAUGCCCAAAUCUGUACCACUCAAAAGAUGAGCCUGAAGAGGAGAUUUGGGAAGAUGCUGUUUCAUAAGUCUUUGCUUUGCCAGAUCACCUGUGGUCGGGAUGUCUGCUAACAUGAUGCCUUGUUGGUCUGGGCGAGUUUGAAGUCUCUCACAGACAGUCCAGAAGGUCUGGAGUCCAUGUUAGCUUUUAUUGAUUAACUACAUACGGUCCCUUGGGGGAGCCAACCCAGGUGAAGUCCACUGAAGUCCCAAUUGCCUACAGCAUGAAAUGGAGGAAGGCAAUAUCCAAUUAAAAGAGACAGAAUAAGAUUGGACCAGAAUAUCACACUCUAAAUUCUGCUGGGUUAUUUUUAACCCAAUGCUGGGUAAAUAUUGGACAGAACACAUGGGUUACCUUUUAAAUAAAGCACUGCAUUGAAACAACCCAGUAUAGGUUUAUUUAUUAUUUACUAAUGCAGUAUGCCUACUAGAAAUGGGUAAAUUAAGGCAUGCUCAAGAAGAAAAGUGGCCAAGAAGAAAAUACAUUACGUUAGGACUAGGGAUGCUCCGAUCGAUCGGCCGCCGAUCGGUAUCGGCCGAUAACGUCAUUAAAUGACUCGAUCGGUCCUCGCUAAAUUUGCCGAUCUCAUAAACCGAUCUUUCUGUUUACCUUUGUCAACAUAGGGCUCCUGAAUGCGGCUGCAGUUAGAGACCAUUUUUACGCAAUGCGAGCAUUUUUAUAACCCAUCGCUCGUGUGUGACAUGAAGAUUUGCAUUUCUCUCUUUGCGCUUGCAGAGAUAAGCGUAUUUUCUAUGAGGACGCGAUCUGAUCAACAGCGCAA